rnacentral:misc_RNA from 1 species
AACGCACAUUGCGCCCUUUGGCAUUCCAAAGGGCACGCCUGUUUGAUGGCCUGCAACAUAGGAUGUUGUCGAUGGUUUCGGCUAUUUGACACGUCCGUUCCUGGACUUUUAUCCCGGGUACGGGAAGUCUUAAAAUAUUUCUCAUUUGAGCACUCCUGACGCACGAAUCGUGGUCAGCAAAAUGUGUGCGGUAGACAUGGCGGAAUUUUCUUCGUAACUGGAGGAUUUGUGCACAUGAUCUGCUAGCACAGGGGGAGUUUGUGCCCCACAUUUUGCUGUAUGGCCCUUUUUGUGUAAGGGACACAGUGCUCCUUUGUUUCCUCAAUUGCCAUCAAAUCAGGUGGGACUACCCGCUGAACUUAA